UACGUAGGGUGCGAGCGUUGUCCGGAAUUAUUGGGCGUAAAGAGCUCGUAGGCGGUUUGUCGCGUCUGCUGUGAAAACCUAAGGCUCAACCUUGGGCUUGCAGUGGGUACGGGCAGACUAGAGUGCGGUAGGGGUGACUGGAAUUCCUGGUGUAGCGGUGGAAUGCGCAGAUAUCAGGAGGAACACCGAUGGCGAAGGCAGGUCACUGGGCCGCAACUGACGCUGGAGGAG
rnacentral:rRNA from 1 species